GCGGAGGGAUCUUACUGAGUUACCGCUCUAUAACCCUUUGUGAACAUACCUACAACUGUUGCUUCGGCGGGUAGGCCGUCCCCUGAAAAGGACGCCUCCCGGCCCGGACCGGACCCCCCGCGGGACCGGACCCGGCGCCCGCCGGAGGAUAACCAAACUCUAUUGUAACGACGUUUCUUCUGAGUGGCAUAAGCAAAAUAAUCAAAACUUUUAACAACGGAUCUCUUGGUUCUGGCAUCGAUGAAGAACGCAGCGAAAUGCGAUAAGUAAUGUGAAUUGCAGAAUUCAGUGAAUCAUCGAAUCUUUGAACGCACAUUGCGCCCGCCAGCAUUCUGGCGGGCAUGCCUGUUCGAGCGUCAUUUCAACCCUCAAGCUCUGCUUGGUGUUGGGGCUCUACGGUCGACGUAGGCCCUCAAAGGUAGUGGCGGACCCUCCCGGAGCCUCCUUUGCGUAGUAACAUUUCGUCUCGCACUGGGAUCCGGAGGGACUCUUGCCGUAAAAACCCCCAAUUUUCCAAAGGUUGACCUCGGAUCAGGUAGGAAUACCCGCUGAACUUAAGCAUAUC
rnacentral:sRNA from 1 species